GGCAGCUCCAGCGAGGGCCAGCAACUGAGGAAGGGCAGAGAAGGCCAGAAUGACCAGAGAACCUGCUGUAGAGAAAGGCUUUUGGGGUUUGAGCAUCUGCACCUUCAGAAGCUGCGUUGAAGCCUUCAUAGGCAGCCUCUGCCACGUGAGGGAAGGCACCUCCACCAGAUAUUUAUGGAGAGAGGGAGAGAGAAUCCUGAAGCAGACUCCCCACUCAAGAUGAAGUCCAACGCCAGGCUGGAUGCCAGGAUCCUGAGAUCGGGACCUGAACUGAAGCCAAGAGCUGACCGCGCAUACCAUUUGGUUUAAAUGGUCUGCAGUAAGCCUCAGCUACUGGCAUGAUCCUUCCAUCCAGCAUUGUAUAAGACUGUCUAAGGAGAAGAAGGCCUCCAGAAUUAACA